rnacentral:tRNA from 1 species
UCCCCGAUAGCUCAGCGGUAGAGCAGCUGGCUGUUAACCAGCUUGUCCUAGGUUCGAAUCCUAGUCGGGGAGCCA